GAGCUCUGCCAGUUUCUGGCCUCAAGUAACUCUGUAGCAGUCAUCGACGGUCCUGAGUUGUUAUCGCAAGUCCAGGAAGAAUGAGGUUACUCAGGCAACUGGAGGGUGAGGAUGGAGAAGAGCUUUAUUGAGCAACAGAACAGCUCUCAGCAGAGAGGAGACCCAAAGUGGGUAGCUCCUACCUGCAGGAAGGUAAUCCCAAUGUGUGUCUGAGUCCUGCUGAGUCUAGGGGUUAUUAUAGGUGCAGAAUGGAGGAAGUGCAUGCUGAUUGGUCCAUGAGUGGGAGGAAGUGCAUGCUG
rnacentral:lncRNA from 1 species